rnacentral:rRNA from 1 species
ACUCAAAUGAAUUGACGGGGGCCCGCACAAGCGGUGGAUCAUGUGGUUUAAUUCGAAGCAACGCGCAGAACCUUACCUAGGUUUGACAUCUCCGGACCGCUGUAGAAAUACAGUUUUGGUAGCAAUACUACCGGAUGACAGGUGCUGCAUGGCUGUCGUCAGCUCGUGUGGUGACAUGUUGGGUUAAGUCCCGCAACGAGCGCAACCCUUGUCUUUAGUUGCCAGCAUUAAGUUGGGCACUCUAAAGAGACUGCCGUGGUUAACACGGAGGAAGGUGGGGAUGACGUCAAGUCCUCAUGGCCUUUAUAUCUAGGGCGACACACGUGAUACAAUGGAUAGUACAAAGGGAAGCGAAGUGGCAACACGGAGCAAAUCUCAAAAAACUAUUCUCAGUUCGGAUUGGAGUCUGCAACUCGACUCCAUGAAGUUGGAAUCGCUAGUAAUCGCGGAUCAGAACGCCGCGGUGAAUACGUUCCCGGGCCUUGUACACACCGCCCGU